GACGAACGCUGGCGGCGUGCUUAACACAUGCAAGUCGAACGGAAAGGCCCCUUUGGGGGUACUCGAGUGGCGAACGGGUGAGUAACACGUGAGUAACCUGCCCUUGACUUCGGGAUAACUUCAGGAAACUGGGGCUAAUACCGGAUAGGAAUCCUUGCUGCAUGGUGGGGGUUGGAAAGCUUCGGCGGUUUUGGAUGGACUCGCGGCUUAUCAGCUUGUUGGUGGGGUAGUGGCUUACCAAGGCUUUGACGGGUAGCCGGCCUGAGAGGGCGACCGGCCACAUUGGGACUGAGAUACGGCCCAGACUCCUACGGGAGGCAGCAGUGGGGAAUAUUGCACAAUGGGCGGAAGCCUGAUGCAGCAACGCCGCGGGCGGGAUGACGGCCUUCGGGCUGUAAACCGCUUUCAGCAGGGGCGAAGCUUGUGGUGACGGUACCUGCAGAAGAAGCACCGGCUAACUACGUG
rnacentral:rRNA from 1 species